rnacentral:tRNA from 1 species
ACUGUGGCUCAGUUGGUAGAGCAGCUGAUUUGUAAUCAGCAGGUCGUGGGUUCGAGUCCCAUCAGU